rnacentral:rRNA from 1 species
CCCGUUUUAGUUUGAUCCUGGCUCAGGACGAACGCUGGCGGCGUGCUUAACACAUGCAAGUCGAACGAUGAAGCCGCUUCGGUGGUGGAUUAGUGGCGAACGGGUGAGUAACACGUGGGCAAUCUGCCCUUCACUCUGGGACAAGCCCUGGAAACGGGGUCUAAUACCGGAUAAUACUCCUGCCUGCAUGGGUGGGGGUUGAAAGCUCCGGCGGUGAAGGAUGAGCCCGCGGCCUAUCAGCUUGUUGGUGGGGUAAUGGCCUACCAAGGCGACGACGGGUAGCCGGCCUGAGAGGGCGACCGGCCACACUGGGACUGAGACACGGCCCAGACUCCUACGGGAGGCAGCAGUGGGGAAUAUUGCACAAUGGGCGAAAGCCUGAUGCAGCGACGCCGCGUGAGGGAUGACGGCCUUCGGGUUGUAAACCUCUUUCAGCAGGGAAGAAGCGCAAGUGACGGUACCUGCAGAAGAAGCGCCGGCUAACUACGUGCCAGCAGCCGCGGUAAUACGUAGGGCGCAAGCGUUGUCCGGAAUUAUUGGGCGUAAAGAGCUCGUAGGCGGCUUGUCGCGUCGGAUGUGAAAGCCCGGGGCUUAACCCCGGGUCUGCAUUCGAUACGGGCUAGCUAGAGUGUGGUAGGGGAGAUCGGAAUUCCUGGUGUAGCGGUGAAAUGCGCAGAUAUCAGGAGGAACACCGGUGGCGAAGGCGGAUCUCUGGGCCAUUACUGACGCUGAGGAGCGAAAGCGUGGGGAGCGAACAGGAUUAGAUACCCUGGUAGUCCACGCCGUAAACGUUGGGAACUAGGUGUUGGCGACAUUCCACGUCGUCGGUGCCGCAGCUAACGCAUUAAGUUCCCCGCCUGGAGACCCCACCC